UUCUGUCAGUGAUGUUCUUCUUUUUUACCUACAUUGUUUGACUUGAGAUGUGAGAAAAAAACCCUAAGACUGAGGCAGAU
ensembl:snoRNA SNORD34 Small nucleolar RNA SNORD34